rnacentral:rRNA from 1 species
GAGGAACCUGUUUUGUAAUCGAUAAUCCACGAUGGACCUUACUUAAAUUUGUAAUCAGUUUAUAUACCGUCGUUAUUAGAAUAUUUUAUAAGAAUGUUAAUUUUCAAGAUUUUUAAUAAGAAAAUAUAUCAGAUCAAGGUGUAGCUUAUGUUUAAGUUUUAAUGGGUUACAAUAAAAUUAUUUAAAUGGAUAUAAAUUUGAAAAGUUUAUUGAAAGUGGAUUUGAUAGUAAAAUUAUAUAGAUAAAUAAUUUGAUUUUAGCUCUAAAAUAUGCACACAUCGCCCGUCACUCUUAUUAUUAAGGUAAGAUAAGUCGUAACAUAGUAGAUGUACUGGAAAGUGUACCUAGAAUGCAAUUUAAAGCUUAUUAAGUAAAGUAUUUCAUUUACAUUGAAAAGAUUUUUGUGCAAAUCAAUAUAAAUUGAUUAAAUUUUAUUUAUUAAUUUUUUUUUUGUUUUAUAUUUAUUAUAUUAAAAAUAAUUAUUAAUUGUUUUGUUUUAGUAUUUUAUAAGGAAAAAAUAAUUUUUAUUAUAGUUAAAUAGUAUUGUGAAAGAAAAUUGAAAUAAUUUGAAAAAUU